rnacentral:tRNA from 1 species
UUUAUAUAGUUUAAAUAAAACAUUAAUUUUGUAAAUUAAAAAUAUUAUUAUUAUUAUAAAAUU